rnacentral:rRNA from 1 species
AACGCGAAGAACCUUACCAGGUCUUGACAUCCUCUGACAACCCUAGAGAUAGGGCUUCUCCUUCGGGAGCAGAGUGACAGGUGGUGCAUGGUUGUCGCCAGCUCGUGUCGUGAGAUGUUGGGUUAAGUCCCGCAACGAGCGCAACCCUUGAUCUUAGUUGCCAUCAUUUAGUUGGGCACUCUAAGGUGACUGCCGGUGACAAACCGGAGGAAGGUGGGGAUGACGUCAAAUCAUCAUGCCCCUUAUGACCUGGGCUACACACGUGCUACAAUGGACGGUACAAAGAGCUGCAAGACCGCGAGGUGGAGCUAAUCUCAUAAAACCGUUCUCAGUUCGGAUUGUAGGCUGCAACUCGCCUUCAUGAAGCUGGAAUCGCUAGUAAUCGCGGAUCAGAAUGCCACGGUGAAUACGUUCCCGGGCCUUGUACACACCG